AAAUGGGUUUGGAUUUAUGGCAGGUCUCUCCAACUAUGCCUCUCAGUGUGUCCCAUGCCAGAGCAAGCUGUGACCCUGAACCAUUGCCUGACCCCUGACGGUGGACUGCAGGUACUGAAGCGGGUUGCACAGUG